AUGAGUAGUUUGUCUUGGAUAUAUGAUUGUGAGAUGCAGGCAGUGUGGUUCCAGAAUCCUCCUCUAGGUAGAGUCACCCAUUUCAUGCCACUUGUCUUAGUAGGUGGGUACAAGGUAGCUAGUGAGCUGCAAUUCUCUGGAUUUAGCUCUCGAAAGAGGGUAACCAUACACUUGAAGUCAGCCUCAUUUUCAUCCAAUCCCAAAGGAAAGGGGACAACAUGGGCUCUAGGUCUGCUGGUGGCUACUUUGUCUAGCCUACUUGAUUUUCUCCAUGUCUCAUCUCUAGGACUGUUAUCAAUGUCUGUGUCUAUAGCUAUCACUAUACCUGAAACUAUGAUUAUCCAUUCCGACACUAGUGUCAGUACCCUUUGCAUAUUGGGACCCAAGUCAAAUGGAGAUAGUUCAAGUAAGGAUGAAACGUAGGGAACUGCAGUAGAAGAUCUCUGCUGCUACUGCCUACAAUACUACUAGAAAUUAAAGAAAGUAGACAAAGCUUUGUAGAUGACUAUAUAGGUUCAGUUCUGGGAGAAAUGUCCCUGGUGGUUAGGCACUGAAAGGGAAGUCAAACCUAAAAGGGGACCUCCUCAGAGAGUGGUAACAGUCCCCCUAACCCACAGUUUGCAGCAAGAUAUCAAAUUAAAAUCAACAAGACAACAAUUCCCAAGACUCCUAAAUUUGCUUCCAUAUAGAAAUAGUUCAGUACCGUCAAGUGAGAAAAUACUUCUUUAUGAUUACUUUCAGGAGCUGGUCAGUAACAGUCUUAGCCGUCCUGAUGACAGUGGUUUUAUGGGUCCUUUUUACCCAGCCUUCUUCAGCACAGUUGACUGUUAGCAGGACUUGGUAGGGCUCUUCCCAGAUUACAGUCAGUUUGUUGCCUUUCCAGGUUCAGAUUGGGACCUAGUUCUCUGGAUAGAACUUGUGCACCAGGAAACCCCAAAGUGAGGCUUGGGCAAUCAAUGCCCUCUUUUCUUCCCUGCAGGGAAGAAAAAGUCAAAGCAACAGAGUGUACAUAAUUUCUCAAAAAUUUAUCUCUGCUUUCCCACUACUGGAUUGAUACAGAAUGACAUUGCUUAUGUAAUAUAGGCCAAUAAGGGAGGUUACCCCCACCUACUCUGGUGAAUUGGGGAAAGGGAGAUAAAGGUUCGAGAGAAUGAGAGAGGGGAGAAGAGGUUGAUCUUCUCCUCUCUUCCCUUAGUGAAGAGAACCUGAGUUUGUCUACCUGAGGGGCAGAGUAUGUCUCCUCAGAGACUGAGUUUGGGAGGUAGAAGUUAAGGUGUGGAGGGGAGGGUUUAAGAGAAUUGACCCACUGCCUCCCUUCUUCAUCUUAGCUGUUGUUGAGAGGCAGGAUAGAUUUUCCUGUCUCUGGAACCCCAACUGCCACUUUCCCCUUUAAGAUCUGAGUUCACUCCUCAGCCCUGGUCUUGAGCUAAUUCUCCUACUUUGGGGAGAGCUGUGGUUCUUCCCAAAUCUUCAGUCCCCUACUUUGGUGUCAGAAAGUAGGCAGACCUGAUCUAGGUAGUAAUACUUUAAUGGAGAAUCACUCAGAGAAGGGAAAAAUUGGAGGUUUAGGUAAGGAAAGUGGGUGACAAGAGUCCCUAAUGACUGGCAGACUGACCCCCCAACUCUUGGGGGUCCAGGCUCUCAGCCUUGACCCCUUUUAUGGUCAGCUGCUGAUUUGUCCCUACUCCUGAGCUAAUUUGGUUAAUUGAUGGAGUUCAGAACAGAUUGGGGAGAGAGAGAUGGAGAAAAUUCUUGGAAAGAAUUUCCUCAGUAGAUGGCUUCUUCUAAAGUCUAGUUUACUGUGUUGAGGUGAGCAAAAGACUUUGAGGGAUCACUAGGAAGCAGUUGGUGUCCAGGGAGAGAUCUCUAGCCUCUUAGAUCCUCUUGUUGGUAGCAGUUUUGAGUCCUACCCAGUCUCUGUUCUCACCUUGGAAUACAAGCACAUCUAAAUUAGGAUGUUAUUUCUCAAUAUCAGAUGUACACAUAUUUUAACUUUAAAAUGAACACUGUUUAGGACAUCCAAUUGAGAGAUUAAAUGUACCUUUCUGUCUUUUUUCUACCUUCUUUCUCUGUGGUCAACAGGGAAGAAAGGAAGAGGUAUUGAAUAGAUCUUUUUACCUGCCUCUGUCUUCACUUUGUUAAGCUAUCCUAGAGUUUAAGAAACUCAUGAUUCAUAAAUAAGUUCUUUGUAGCCUCUUAAUUCAAUAUUUUAUUUUCCAAACAUCCCUCAAUAUUCAGGAAUACAAGGAAAGAGAGAGAGAGAAGAGAGAGAGAGAGAGAGAGAGAGAGAGAGAGAGAGAGAGAGAGAGAGAGAGAGAGAGAGAGAGAGAACAUAUAAAUCACACAGAAGUUUUCCCAACCUCCUUUUUGUGUGUACAUGACAACACAUUUACAAAGACAGACAACAAACAGUUAAAUAAACUUUGCUUCAGGUUUCA
rnacentral:lncRNA from 1 species